rnacentral:rRNA from 1 species
ACCCCUGGCCAGGCUAGGAUACUAGCUGAGUUUAAGCAUAUCAAUAAGUAGAGGAAAAGAAACUUACAAGGAUUCCCCUAAUACCAGCGAGCGACCCGAGAAGAGCCCAGCUUUAAAAUCGGGUGGCCUUGCCGUCCAAAUUGGAGUAUGAAGAAGUGUCCUCUGCAGUAAACCGGGCCCAAGCCCCUAGAAAGGGGCGCCAGAGAGGGUGAGAACCCUGUCGUGCCCAGACCCUGUCGCACCAUGGGGCGCUGUCGCCGAGUCGGGUUGUUUAGGAAUGCAGCCCCAAGCAUGUGGUAAAUUCCGUCUAAGGCUAAAUAGGGCAAGAGACCAAUAGCGAGUAAGUACCGUGAGGGAAAGAUGAAAAGGACUUUGAAAAGAGAGCCAAAGAGUGCUGGAAAUUGUCGAAAGGGAAGUGGAUGGUCAUCGGCGAUACGCCCCAGUCAGAUUUGGAACGGCCAUAAGCCGGUCUGUCGAUUGACUCGGGGCACAGAGCGACACGGAUUGGGAAGGCGGCUAGCCCUGGCACCUGCGCGCUCUCGGCCUCAGCUGGCGGGCCCCCCAUUUGUCCCUUCUUGAAACAUGUACCAAGGCAUCUGACAUGUGUGCGAGUCAACAGGCUAUAAACCCGUGCGACACAAGGAAGCUAAUUUACAGGAUCCCCUCAUGGGUGCACCGCCGACCAACCUUGAUCUUCUAAAAAGGUUCAACUGUGAGCAUACCUGUUGGGGUACGAAAGAUAGUGAACUAUGCCUGAGUAGGGCGAAGCUAGAGGAAACUCUGGUGGAGGCCCAAAGCGAUUCUGAUGUACAAAUCAUUCAUCUCACUUGGGUACAGGGCGAAUCAAACUAUCUAGUAGUUAGUUCCCUCUGAAGUUUCCCUCAGGAUAGCUGGAGCUCAUACGCGAGUUCUAUUAAGUAAAGCAAUGAUUAGAGGCAUUCGGAGUGCAAUGCCCUCAUCUUAUUCUCAAACUCUCAAUAGGUAGGACGACAUGGCUGCUUUGUUAAGAUGCACUACGGAAUCGAGAGCUCGAAGUAGGCUAUUUUUGGUAAGCAGAACAGGCGAUACAAGAUAAACCAAAAGUUGGGUUACGAUGCCUAAUUGUGCGCUAACCUAGAUCCCACAAAGGGUGUUGGUUAACUGAGACAGCAGUACGAUGGUCAUGGAGGACGAAAUCCAUUAAGGAGUGUGUAACAACUUACCUGCCGAAUCAACCAGCCCUGAAAAUGGAUGGCGCUGAAGCGCGUGACCUAUACCCAGUAGUAUGGGUAAGUGCCAGGCCCCGAUGAGUAGAAGGGUGCAGCGGUCCUUGCAAAACCUAUGGCGCGAGCCAGGGAGGAGCAACCGUCGAUGCAGAUCUUGGUGGUAGUAGCAAAUAUUCAAAUGAGAACUUUGAAGGCCAAAGAGGGGAAAGGUUCCAUGUGAGAGACACUUGCACAUGGGUUAGUCGAUCCUAAAAGACGGGGGAAGUUCAUCCGACAGCACCUUUCGCGUGAUCUUCGGAAGGGAAUCAGGUUUAAAUUUCAAACCAGGACGCGGCGGUUGACGGUAACAUUAGGGAGUCCGGAUACUCGGCGGGGGCCUCGAGAAGAGUUAUCUUUUCUGUUUAACAGCCUGCCCACCCUGGAAACGACUCAAUCGGAGGUUGGGUCUAGCGGCUAGAAGAGCACUGCACGUCACAUAGUGUCUGGUGCGCUCUCAGCAGCCCUUAAAAAUCCGGAGGACUGAGUGCUGACCACGCUUAGUUGUACUCAUAGCCGCAUCAGGUCUCCAAGGUGACCAACCUCUUCCCAAUGGAACCAUGUAGGUAAAGGAAGUCAGCAAAAUGGAUCGCGAACCCAUCUGCUGUCAACAGACUACUCGAGCUACUCCCACAGUGAGAGCAGGUUGUUGCGUGGUAGCCGGGGGAUAUAUUGGGAACGACCCCUUCAAGGACCUUCCCUGGACGUCAAACAGUCAACUCAAAAUUCGUACGGACAAUGAAAAUCCGGCUGUUUAAUUAAAACAAAGUAUUUCGAUGGUCUCAGUGGAUGUUAACACAAUGUGAUUUCUACCUAGUGCUCUGAAUGUCAAGGUAAAGAAAUUCAACCAAGCGCAGGUAAAGGGCGGGAGUAGCUAUGACUCUCUUAAGGUAGUCAAAUGUCUCGUCAUCUAAUUAAUGACGCGCAUGAAUGGAUUAACGAGAUUCCCACUGUCCCUGUGCACUAUCUAGUGAAACCACAACCAAGGGAACGGGCUUGGCAGAAUCAACGUGGAAAGAAGCCCUGUUGAGCUUGACUCUAAUCUGACUUUGUGAAAUGACUUGAGAGGUGUAGCAUAAGUGGGAGCUUCGGCGCAAGUGAAAUACCACUACUUUUAACAUUAUUUUACUUACUCUAUGAGUUAGAGGUGGGGCAUCGACCCUCAUUCAAACCUAAGGCUCGCUUGCAGGCCAAUCUGGGAGGAGGGCAUCGUCAAGUGGGGAGAUUGGCUAGGGUUACACAUCUAUUAAAAGAUAAUGUAAGUGUCUAAGAUCAGAUUAACGAGAAUAGAAAUCUCGUGUGAAAUAGAAGGGUAAAAGCUCGUUUCAUUCUGAUUUUCAGUAUGAAUAUGAACCGUGAAAAUGUGGCCUAACGAUCCUUUCAACCUUCAGAAUUUAAAGGUAGAAGUGUCAGAAAAGUUACCACAGGGAUAACUGGAUUGUGGCAGCCAAGCGUUCAUAGCAACGUUACUGUUGAUCCUUCGAUGUCGGCUCUUCCUAUCAUUACGAAGCAGAAUUCACCAAGUGUUGGAUUGUUCACCCACUAAUAGGGAACGUGAGCUGGGCUUAGACCGUUAUGAGACAGGUUAGUUUUACCCUACUGAUGACAGUGUUGCGAUGGUAAUUCAACCUACUACGAGAGGAACCAUUGAUUCGCACAAUUGGUCAUCGUGCUUGGUUAAAAAGCCAAUGGCGUGAAGCUACCCUGCGGUGGAUUAUAACUGAACGCCUCUAAGUCAGAAUCCGGGCCAGAAGCGACGUAUGCACCCGCCGCCCGAUUGCCGACCUGCAGUAGGGGCCUCGGCUCCCAAGGGCAUGCGUCGAAGGCUAAGCCAGCGCGGUGGAUGCGCCUUGAUGGCCGCCUU